rnacentral:rRNA from 1 species
GCCCUUGUGCCAGCCGCCGCGGUAACACGUAGGGGGCGAGCGUUGUCCGGAAUUAUUGGGCGUAAAGAGCUCGUAGGCGGUUCGGUAAGUCGGGUGUGAAAACUCAGGGCUCAACCCUGAGACUGCACCCGAUACUGCUGUGACUAGAGUCCGGUAGAGGAGUGUGGAAUUCCUGGUGUAGCGGUGAAAUGCGCAGAUAUCAGGAGGAACACCAGCGGCGAAGGCGGCACUCUGGGCCGGAACUGACGCUGAGGAGCGAAAGCGUGGGUAGCAAACAGGAUUAGAUACCCUGGUAGUCCACGCCGUAAACGUUGGGCACUAGGUGUGGGGUCUUAUCAACGGAUUCCGCGCCGUAGCUAACGCAUUAAGUGCCCCGCCUGGGGAGUACGGCCGCAAGGCUAAAACUCAAAGGAAUUGACGGGGGCCCGCACAAGCGGCGGAGCAUGUUGCUUAAUUCGAGGCAACGCGAAGAACCUUACCUGGGCUUGACAUGCAGGGAAAAGCCAUGGAGACAUGGUGUCCUUCGGGGCCCUGCACAGGUGGUGCGUGGCUGUCGUCAGCUCGUGUCGUGAGAUGUUGGGUUAAGUCCCGCAACGAGCGCAACCCUCGUCCUAUGUUGCCAGCGGGUAAUGCCGGGGACUCGUAGGAGACCGCCGGGGUCAACUCGGAGGAAGGUGGGGAUGACGUCAAGUCAUCAUGCCCCUUAUGUCCAGGGCUGCAAACAUGCUACAAUGGCCAGUACAACGGGCUGCGACACCGCGAGGUGGAGCGAAUCCCUUAAAGCUGGUCUCAGUUCGGAUUGGAGUCUGCAACUCGACUCCAUGAAGUCGGAGUCGCUAGUAAUCCCGGAUCAGCAACGCCGGGGUGAAUACGUCCCGGGCCUUGCA